rnacentral:rRNA from 1 species
UACGAAGGGGGCUAGCGUUGUUCGGAAUUACUGGGCGUAAAGCGUGCGCAGGCGGCUUUGCAAGACAGAUGUGAAAUCCCCGGGCUCAACCUGGGAACUGCAUUUGUGACUGCAAGGCUAGAGUACGGCAGAGGGGGAUGGAAUUCCGCGUGUAGCAGUGAAAUGCGUAGAUAUGCGGAGGAACACCAAUGGCGAAGGCAGUCCCCUGGGCCUGCACUGACGCUCAUGCACGAAAGCGUGGGGAGCAAACAGG